rnacentral:rRNA from 1 species
UUGCUGCAUGGUUGUCGUCAGCUCGUGCCGUGAGGUGUCGGGUUAAGUCCCAUAACGAGCGCAACCCUUAUCGUUAGUUGCCAGCGGGUAAUGCCGGGAACUCUAGCGAAACUGCCGGUGUAAACCGAGAGGAAGGUGGGGAUGACGUCAAAUCAGCACGGCCCUUAUGUCCAGGGCUACACACGUGUUACAAUGGCCGGUACAGAGGGCAGCUACCUGUUGACAGGAUGCGAAUCUCGAAAGCCGGUCUCAGUUCGGAUCGGAGUCUGCAACCCGACUCCGUGAAGCUGGAUUCGCUAGUAAUCGCGCAUCAGCCAUGGCGCGGUGAAUACGUUCCCGGGCCUU